GUUUGAUCGUGCAAUUAGUUAUGAAUAGAAAGUAAAGUUUAUUUUCGAAAUUGUGGCAUCAAAAUUGAUUUUUCGAUUCAGUAACAAAUGUAACCCCUGUGUGGAUCAAUUUUAAUGACAAUGAUAAGUGCUACUAUUAGUGUUGAACUUAUUGAUAGAUAAUUGCUUGCAAAGCAAAACAAAAGACUCACUCUUUGGUAAAUAGAGUUAAAAUAUUACUAAAUUAUUGACAAAUUUUUAAAAUAAAAUAAUUAUGUUCAUGUCAAGGUAUUAUUAAAUGCACUAUCAAUUUAAAUUUAUUACUGAUCCUUAUUCUGGAUCACUUUGUAAAUCUUCAAGAAAUUAUAAUCCAUAUGUUUUGAUUGCAAAUGAUUUCGUUUUUAAUUACUUGUUUUUCCUCAUUGAUAAGUUAAACUCAAUUGAAUUUUUAAAAAUGGAUUGAUCUUUCAUUAUCCACAAGAUACCCAAGGAUUCACAAAACACAGUAAUAAACCAUAACUGCUGUGCAUUCAAUACUCAAUUAUCACAGGGUCCCCAGGACUUUAAAUUUAAUAAUUCCAAAUGAAUUUGAAGGGUCAAUGAAUUGCAGAAUAGUGUGUUUUGGUCUUGUUUUUAUUUAGUUCUGAGGCGAAUGUAUAUAAUUUUAUAAGCUAUCAUUGAAACAUAAAUCUCAAAUAUGCUUUAAAAUAUUAAAACUUUAGUUUACAAUUGAAUAUCACUUUAAAUAUCUUGUGAUAUAAUAGAUUCUUGCUGCUUUGUUGUUGAUGUUUGUAUUUUGCUUUUUAAUAUUUAUUUUAGUGAUUUAUUUAUGUUGAUUAAAAAAGCAAUUAAUUGAUGUUAUGUUUUUCUCAGUUUGUUUCUUUGUUGUCUUUCUUUUCUUUUUCAAAAUUUUCGUAUGAAAAUUUAUUUUUACUAAAACAUUAGAUACUGUGUUAAUAAUACAAAGUCUUUUUAACUUAAAAAUACAAGAUUGUAAAUAGAUUGUAUUCAUUUCUUCCUAAUUACACGUAUAAAUGUCUUUUUUGUAUGAUCUGUAUUAAUCAUACAUACUAAUAGUUACAUUUUGUUCUUCUACUUUUUAGACA
rnacentral:lncRNA from 1 species